AUUCUGUGGUCUUCAGACACAAGAAAGGUGGCCACGGGAAGCAAUAGCCGGAUGGAUGGAGCGUGAUAAUUGAUCCAUCGACAUAAUGGAGAUCAACCGACUGUUUCUCACCAUCCAAUUGCUGUUCAUCCUCUACAAUCGAUCUUCUGCUGGAGUAGUCGAAACGUCGGACACUCUGGCGAUUGAUGGACCGCAUUUCAUUACGGAACCGCCGGCCUGGCUCGAAUUUACCAAUCAAACGGGGGCGAGCGUCUGGUGCGCCGCUGCUGGACAUCCUCAACCCACUGUCACGUGGAUAACCGUUUCCGAGAUGUCCACUUCAUCCGCGACGGCCGGUGUAGUCGAAAUUGCUGGCCUGCGUCGCAUCGCGACCCAUGCCGGACAUAACGUGUCAUUAAUCUUCCCGCCAUUCGCAGCCACGGCUUAUCGUCCCGAUGUUCAUUCGACGGCCUACCGUUGCCGGGCUAGUAGUCCAGCUGGAACAAUUUUAAGCCGCGAAAUGAGGCUCAGAAGUGUGUUGGUCCAGUCAUACGAGACGCAGGCUGUGGCCGGCUCGGCUGUGAAAGGCGGAAUAGCCGUCCUGCGUUGCGCCAUACCGCCGGCCAUCAAGAACGAUAUCAAAGUAACGGCCUGGAUUCAAGAAUUCACCGGCCUGACCAUCUUUCCAUCUCUGCAAGGCGAUGGAAAACACCAUAUGUUGCCUGGAUCAGGCGAUCUCUAUCUGUACGGUGUCGACAAAAGUGACAUCCGGGCCGCUUAUCGGUGCCGGACGCAGCAUAGAUUGCACGCAGCGGGCUUCCAUCAACAGCUUAGUGCCAACACGGCCACCAUCGCUGUAUCCGAACCUUCGAGUGUUGUCGGGCCGACGGUGAACGUCAAAACGUCGAGCAUUCAAGUGACAUUGAACGAGAACAUUGCCAUUCCGUGCGUAGCUCAAGGCUACCCCAUUCCGGAAAUCAGGUGGUAUCGAUUGGAAAGUGAUGGACCGCCUACUGCGAUGGACGAAUCGACGGCUAGUUUCGGUGUUUUGGUGCUGGAGAAUGUCCAGCCGGAAGACGGAGCGACUUAUCGUUGCACGGCGGCCAAUAGCGUCGGCCAGAGUUUGCCCUACGACGUCCGUCUUGAAGUGGUGGAACCUCUGAAAGCCAAGCUUCGACCCGACAAGGCCGUUUUGCGGAUUAAUCAGGGUCAGACGGGCCAAAUCGAAUGCGCCUUCCAGCUGGAUCAGCAGAAUCAUCAUUAUCGCAACAUCAACGGAUUAGCCGGACAUUCGUCCACCGUCCGGCCGAUCAUCAAAUGGCUGAAGGAUGGGCUGACCAUCACCACGUCGACCGUGGUAGCCGACGCCAACCCGAGCAGCAGUUCCAAAUAUCAGCAAUCGGCCGUCUUGAUCUCGCGAGCUUCCACAUCCGCACAACAGGAGCAAAUCUGGUCGUUGCGCAUCAGCAAUUUUCAACGAGCCGACGAAGGCAUUUACCAGUGUUUUGUCUACACGGACAAGGAGUCAGCCCAGUCAUCUGUCCGUCUCUUGCUCGGAGAAGCGGCUCCUCAAAUGGUGCACACCUUCAAUGAACAGACGCUCGUUCCAGGUCCGUUUGUGACUCUACGAUGCACGGCUAUCGGGAAUCCACCGCCGGACAUGACGUGGUUGCUGGAUAAACAACCUCUAUCCUUCCAGCCACAACAACAGCUGAUCAAUAGCGCCAGGAUAUCGCAGAGUCAAAUCGUAUCAGCAGGAGGGGAGACGACGGGCCAUCUGAACAUUAGCAGCGCUCAAGUGGAAGACGGUGGUGAGUACACGUGCGUAGCGAAGAAUGCGGCCGGCGAGGCAUCGCAUUCGUCCCGGCUCAACAUUUACGGACUGCCGUACAUCCGCAAUAUGCCCAAAAUGACGGCCGUGGCUGAAGCGGAUGUCUCCAUCAAAUGCCCAGUUGCCGGAUAUCCAAUUAUGGAAAUCAGCUGGAGCAGAGGGGAAGAAGUUUUGAGAUCUGGCAACAAGUACACGCUGGAUCAUCAGACGGGCAUUCUCAACAUUAAAUCGGUGAGUCAAGCUGGAGAUAAGGGCGUCUACACGUGCACAGUCCGCGACCGACAGGGCCACACUGCCCGUCGUGAUUUCACCCUCGACGUUGUCGUUGCGCCCAAGAUGACGCCGUUCCAGCAGAUGGACCCGAGCGGCCUGAAACUGGGCGAACGGCUGACGCUGACGUGCUCGGUCACCAAAGGCGACCUGCCGCUGUCUUUCAGCUGGACGGUCAACGAUCGCCAGAUUAGCUCGGCCAGCGGGGCGGUUAAAACCGUUCAGAUCGAUCCUUACACGAACCUGCUGAGCGUCGACUCGCUCCAGCCGGCCCACAGCGGCAAUUAUACGUGCUCGGUUGACAAUCUGGCCAUCACGACGACAUCAGCCAGUCACACGCGACAGCACCAAUCUCAAUUGGUCCUCAUCCAGGUGCCGCCAUUUUGGAUUGUCGAGCCGAGAGAUGUCAGUGUCUUAGCUGGCCAACCACUUAUCGUUCAUUGCCAAGCUGAUGGAUAUCCGAAACCGAACGUGACCUGGACGUGGACACCUACGACCGCGUUCAUGGGUUCGAGUUCAUCUUCGAAUCAAGAGACGACGGCUUCAUCUUCUCACGUGCUAACAAACCGGACGUCGCCCGCCUUCCUCAGAGUAAUGGAGAACGGGACGCUAAUUAUCCGCUCUGCCCGCAAAAGCCUACAGGGUCGAUAUUCAUGUCGUGCUGUCAACAGGAUCGGUCAGGAUCUUACAGCCACAAUUACAAUCACCGUUCACGUUGGGCCGAGAUUUCGCGACUCGCUGACCAGGUUGGCCGUCAAACGAGACGCCCAGGCAUCGUUGCAUUGUCGGGUCGAAGGUGACAGUCCUCUUCAUUUGGCCUGGAGGCGAAGCUCUUCAUCAACUUCGCUUCUUUCUUCUAAUUACAGACUACGCAUCCAGGAGAAGGAAGCGCCGCCCAACGGUUUAGUUUCUACGUUGACUAUUAUUGGAACGCAAGUGGAAGACACGGGCAUUUACAUCUGCAUUGCGUCCAACAGCCACGGCCAAGUAGAACGCGAUUUCCAGCUGACUGUUUUAGAACCACCCGAACAGCCUCGCCAUCUGCAAGUUCAGGAGACGUCCAGUCGUCGAGUAAUGCUCUCGUGGUUAGCGCCAUCUACCGUUAAUACUUAUAAUCCUCUUAUCGCUUACAUCGUUCAAUACCGAGAGACCAAACAUGGCGGCACGUGGCAAGAGACGGACAACAUGUCCGCCUACAGUACCAAUUACAGUCUGGAAGGUCUCCAACCGUCCACGUCAUAUCAAGCAAGAGUAGUGGCGGAGACGAGCGCUGGAAGAGGACCACCGUCCGACCCUGUUGUUGUAACAACUUAUGGCGAACCUCCGGGAGCUUGUCCGUCCGACUUGCGCGCAGUGCCUGUUUCCUCAUCGAGUAUCCGGUUGACGUGGACGGCAAUCAACGGCAACAGCUGGCAUAGCAACUUGAUAGGCUACCAUUUGGGCUUUCGCCAGGACAACGCCAUGUCGUACAACUUUACGACAGUGCCGCUGAUGGACCAGCAAUCGAACGGCCAGCUGGAACUGACACUCAGCCAGCUCCGCAAAGCCACCAAAUUUCUGAUCGUUGUCAGGGCUUUCAAUCGCUACGGAGAAGGACCUUUAUCCGCACCUUCGUCGGCCGCCACGUUCGAAGAUGUUCCAUCUGCGGGACCGCAAUCGUUACGAUGUUCCACAUCGUCGUGGCAGAGCAUUGAAGUGACGUGGCAGGCACCUCCAGCGUCCGAACACAACGGAAUUAUCCAGCAUUAUCGAUUGCAUUACGAAAUUAUGGCACCUCCACCUUUAACGGAUGAGGGCGCAGUCGUCAGCGCCGCAAGUGGACCGCAAGUGAAAACGGUGGAUGGGAUCUAUGCUACACUGACUGGAUUAUCAGCCCACUCGGCGUAUCGCAUACGAAUUGAAGCCGUUACUCGGAUAGGUGCUGGACCAUUUUCCGCCUCGGUUACUUGUUUAACUGAUGAAAAUGUUCCGAAAGCUCCGACCGAUGUCAAGGCUUUUAGUAGCGGUACCCAUUCGGCUGACGUUUGCUGGGCAGUUCCUCCCCAAACGAAUGGCCAAAUACUGCACUACACAGUGAACAUCAAAGCUGGUGGCCACGGCAUGUCCAAUUCAAACGUCCAGCGCCACACAGUGCCCGGAUCGCAGACUUACUAUCAGGUGGACGCGUUGCACACGUCUUCGACACAACCUGCUUUCUACGAGAUCUGGGUGACGGCCACCAACAGGGCCGGCAUUGGAGAUAAAUCAAAAAUCAUCCGUUUUUCACCCAAUCACAAAGCCAACAAUUUAGCCGUUUGUUCAUUUGGACGUCGUGUGGUCCAGCUAUGGAGAUCUAGUAUUGAUCUGCCCUGUCAUGUUGUUGGCAAUCCGGUCCAGUUAAACUGGACAUACAACGGGAAAUUGAUGGAACAUAAAUCAACGGAUAAUCAGAAGGAGUUGACCGUUAAAAACAAGACGAACGGUUACACAAGUUUAACGGACUUGAAGAGAAGUGACACGGGCAAUUAUACCUGUUCGGUCACAACCGGAUUCGUCAGUGAUUCCAUUACUUAUCAACUAGUUGUUCUAGUUCCUCCGGCUCCUCCGGUGCUUCACGUGUUUCAAACAAAUGCGCAACAAAUUCAAAUGCAGUGGAAAGUGGAAGAUGAUGGCGGGAGUCCCGUCCGUGGAUAUUUGCUCCAUUGGCGACUCGCUGAAAGCGGAGAUUGGGAAGAACGUGAACUGGAUAGAUUAGCAACAUCCACACAGCUCGAUAAUUUACGGUGCGGAACGCGGUAUCAGAUUUACGUGACCAGUCAUAACGCGGUGGGAACAAGUGGUCCUAGUAAUUCAGUGACUGCGAGGACUAAAGGAGAUGUGCCUCUAGUCCCUUCUUCGACAUCUGCUGCGCUAAGUGUCAAUUCCUCGCACAUUACCGUCUUUUUAAACGGUUGGCAAGAGCGCGGAUGUCGCGUACGUUCGUUUGGAGUUGAUUUCAAAAUGGAUGGAGAAGCGUACUGGACAACAGUAUCGGACGACAUUCAAAAUCUGCCCGUUAUCUUUAUCGAAGACGUUCAACCAUCGACGGCGUAUCACCUGAAAGUGAGGGCUAAAACAAGCGCUGGAGUCGUGACGAUGGAAUAUGAUUUAGUCACGUUGGAUCAUAUGGGCAUUGCACCGACCCCCGAUCGAAUCAACCGGGCCGGGCGUCAGCUUUUACCGCCUACUGGUAGCAACAAAUCGAUGGAUAGCGGUCACGUUAUUUUGCCAUGGUGGCUCAUCGGUGCCGUCAGCGCGGUGGGAACGGCUUCGCUUCUGGGCUUGGUUGUGGCUUGCUCGUGCUUGUACAAAACGCGAAGUGAAAGUAGACGGCUCGUUGCUUCGGCAUUACCAUCAGAAUCUACUCUAGCCGAAGGCAUGAAUAAUGCUAAUAACACGUGGAACAAGAGCCACAAGUCCGGAUCAACACCGGCCGAUCGCAACAGCUCUAAACGCAGUUCCACGUACGAACUUCAAAGUAUGACCGAUAAAAUGUCCAGUUAUUCUGGCGAUCAACACGACGAUAUUUAUCCGUACGCCACGUUCGAAUUGCAUCGAGAUCAUCAUCCACGCUCUCCUGUCAAAAUGCUGGACAACGCCCCCGAUUUCACACGUCUAAACAAGUACGGUCAUCACGGUGGCAUUGGAACUCAUAUAAAAUUGCCGCUGCGGCCGCCCCCGACCUGGUCGGAGUUGAGCACCAUUGAAAUCGAGCGACACUUUCAAGGCUCUCCGACCGUCUCUGAUUCGGAUUUGGAAAGUUUACCUGUACCGCCGGACUACGCCCACGAUCGCGGACAACAGGGUAGGCCUGCACGUCAAGGAGUGAACAGUAGCUUCGCGAACGGCCCGGGCCUGAAAGACUACGCUUCAAAGUCAUCGCUCAAACGCUUCAGUAACAGUCUUUCAUCAUGAUUUCGUCUCUGACAAGCGUGUGUGUAUGAUCGGCCAAAAGAUAACCAUCUCGUGACAAAAAUCAAAUAAACAGGCGCCAUCAGCAAAGAGGCUUCGUAUUACUCGUCUUCUACGGAAUUCUCACCAAUUACCGGAGAGCUAUCGCAACGUGGUGGAUUGCUGGACAAACAACAUCAAAGACCUAGUGCCAAAAAAGUCUGUGCCUCUACUGCGACUGGUGGAUCAGUCCAAUCUAUGGAGCGGUCUGCAGUAUAAUCCCAAGGAUCAGAUGAGCGUUUCGUCUGCUAGUUGGACGACUAAGCCAUUCGUGACACCGGAAUCG